GACGAGCCUCACAAACGUUAUUCGGAAUUACUGGGCUUAAAGGGUGCGUAGGCGGCGCGGAAAGUUGGGUGUGAAAUCCCUCGGCUCAACCGAGGAACUGCGCCCAAAACUACCGUGCUCGAGGAAGAUAGAGGUGAGCGGAACUCACGGUGGAGCGGUGAAAUGCGUUGAUAUCGUGAGGAGCACCCGUGGCGAAAGCGGCUCACUGGGUCUUUUCUGACGCUGAUGCACGAAAGCUAGGGGAGCAAACGGG
rnacentral:rRNA from 1 species